rnacentral:rRNA from 1 species
UUAAGAAUCUUGCGCAAUGGGGGAAACCCUGACGCAGCGACGCCGCGUGGACGAUGAAGGCCUUCGGGUUGUAAAGUCCGAUAAGCGGGGAAGAAUAAGCAACGGGUAAUAUUCGUUGUGAUGACGGUACCUGCCUAAAGCCCCGGCUAACUACGUGCCAGCAGCCGCGGUAAUACGUAUGGGGCUAGCGUUGUUCGGAGUUAUUGGGCGUAAAGGGCGUCUAGGCGGGGAAUUAAGUUAGGUGUGAAAUCCCUGGGCUCAACCCAGGAACUGCAUCUAAAACUGGUUCUCUUUAGUUCGGGAGAGGAGAGCGGAAUUCCCGGUGUAGCGGUGAAAGGCGUAGAUAUCGGGAAGAACACCAGUGGCGAAGGCGGCUCUCUGGCCUAGAACUGACGCUGAAGCGCGAAAGCGUGGGGAGCGAACG